UACGUAGGGGGCUAGCGUUGUCCGGAAUCAUUGGGCGUAAAGAGCGCGUAGGCGGCCAGAUAAGUCCGGUGUGAAAGUCACAGGCUCAACCUGUGAAUGCCGCUGGAAACUGUCUGGCUAGAGUCCGGGAGGGGCGAGUGGAAUUCCUGGUGUAGCGGUGAAAUGCGCAGAUAUCAGGAGGAACACCGAUUGCGAAGGCAGCUCGCUGGAACGUUACUGACGCUGAGACGCGAAAGCGUGGGGAGCAAACAGG
rnacentral:rRNA from 1 species